AAAAGGUUUGCGAGGAACAAACCGAAAUGCGAGACCUACAUUUCGAGACCUACGUUUCGUCUACACCCGGUAGAAAUUAAUAUCCUUUCUACGCUGCAGUACUACGACGCAUGUCCCGUUGCGCUUCCUCGGCUUCCUGCUGCGCCUGUGCAGUUUCCGCUCUGGCGCGGCGAAGUUGGUAGUUGGCUUUAUUCAGCUGGACGUGCUUUCCUUCCAAUGCGGCAGUGUGACGCUUUCAUCCUUCAUCUUGGUUUUCUCCGCUUCGGCUGCGGUGCUUAAAUUGAAGAUUUUGGCAUGGAAGGCUUCUGUGUUCCGAAUAAAUGUCUUAAGCUCGUCGGUUAAUUCUAAA